GGUUGUUGCUGACACCAGCAUGAGCAAUAUCUGAGCACCAAUGAUGAGGGUCAUCUGCUGGGAGAUAGUGGGUAUCCGUUAAGGACUAACCUGAUGACCCCUUAACCUCAUCCCUCCCAUGCUGCGGAACAGGCCUACAAUGACCAUCUAUGUAGAGGAUAUCUGCAUGCCACUGGUGGAUGUUGGCCUUUCAAGUCCAAUAAGUGCUGUGAAAUAUCAACUGUGUACAUGCCCCUGCAUAACCUGUGUCUGGAUUCAAACGUUCCACUGAUAGAUGAAUUGGUUGGAAACGUGAUGGAACCGGAAGUUAUGAACAACACACCAGUACAUCGAGCAGCAUGUGAUAAGAGGCACCAGCUGAUGAAACUGUUUCAUAAAAAAAU